ACUUCCAAGGUGUGUGGCCUACCUGAAAUUUUAUCUGCUCAGGGAUAAUGUAACAGUGAGCUCAUUUAAUCCAAGAGUUCGGCCACUUUUUCAGUAUAAACAUUACAGGCUGAUAUGCAAGGAUGAGUAUGCCUAGACAAUACAUGAUGUCAGGGAGGAGGCAUCUUGGAAAGUACACCUGUUUCUGAUGCCAACCAGAGCCACAUCUUUCCUGGCAGAUGGAUCCUGUGCUGUUGGGGUAAUAAGUAUCUCAUCUCCAAGCAUUGAUGGGAUACGAACAAAAUUAUUGAACAAAAAAACAUUUUGUUAUCAAACGCCAUCCAUAGUCAUCCUCAGUAUUGCAAGUAACAUGUACUUGGUUUUUUUCCUUGUGUUAUCGGUCUUUGUUGGGAGUUAAUACGAGGAAGGCAAUGCCUUUAAUGGUGUUUAAUGCUCCAAUGUUUCAUGACACUGCCAUUUAAUCUUAGAUUCAUUUAGAGUCUGAAAAGGGAUUUGUAUGCAAAAUUACCAUUAUUUGAUAAGUGCCAGAUUAUUCAGUGUCAGCAAACAUGAGGAUGAACGUAAGAUCCUCCGAGUUUUUGCAUUAGCUAUAAUUGUCCUGGAAGUAGUGGAGUAUGCAAUCCAGAUUUCAGGUAACCAGAACUGAUUGGUUAUAUUACUGAUUGAUCCUCUUGAUUGUUUGCUAAAUUCUAUUGAUCUGGAUAAGCAUGGGAAUUAUGAUUAUGCCACAUAAUGCCACUGGCCAGAACCUGAAACAAGUAUCCUUCCUGUUUGAUAACACCAAGCUAACCAAAAGCUACAAGCUUGACAUGGUGAAUCCUUUCCAAGACUGAUGGGAGAAACUGCUGCAUUCUAUCCAACGAUGCCUUCACUAGCUCUUACCACUACCGGUGUUCUUUGAUAAAAAAAGCCAGCUCUAACCACUGUCAUCCAAUAUUUGCUAUCUGUGACUAAGUAUGAUCAUCAGAACCAAGUCUUUUCAAAUUGUUGGAGGGAUUGAUGAAACCAGAUCAAGAGCAAGCUGUGAACCAAUACAGACAGUUUUCAAACCAUUAAUUUUUUUUGCUCACAGCUGCAAAAGAUGCAUACUAAUAAAAAAAUUUGCACGUUCAGAUCAUAUAGAGGAGAAUUUAAAUUUUGUGCCUUGAUGUCGAACCAAAAUGUGUCUUGAUUCUUGUAUUGGAAGUUUAAGGACUGACUUUAAGGAUUAUGAGUAGUUUUAAAUUUUGAGAUAUUAUGGAUAUUACACAAAUCAACUCUUGGAUCAGACUUGUACUGGGCUAUGUUGUAGAUGGGUUACAAUGAAAAUUUCAAAUUAUUGGUAAUGGAAACUCCUUUGACAUUUUAGUCUGUCUUAAGAUUUCCACUUGUUGCAUUUGCAAGUGUAAAUGAUAAUUUUGUCCCCAUGGAACGGGCAAAUGGUCAUUGCAUGGGGUGUUGCCAUCAAGAGGUCUAGAGGUCAAUUCCGGGUAGCAAAAUGCUUACCAGGUUCCUCCUGCCCUCCCCCAUGCAAUGAUCACAGUUCAAAAAGGCAAAAAAAGAGCCACUCGUGAUUUACCUCUCUACAAAUGUAUGUGGGACCGGUCGUGUGGGGGCGACUGGGGUGAGUGUAUGACUUUUUGACACCAAGUGUAAAUGAUAGUUUUUCAAUUGCGAAUUUUAUUUUGGGCAAUGAUGAAAUGUUCUUAAAUAGCAAGUUUUUUCUGUUUCAUUGUUUAGCUGGUUUGUUAAAAGGAAUUUCCAACCUAUCUUUAGCAUUUAACUGAUAUGAGAACAAAGACAAUUUCUAAGUCGAUAGAAAACAACACAUCGAGAUAUUUCCUCUUUCUUGUAAUCUAAUUUAGGUUGGAUGCAGUAUAGCUUUGUCAAAUGUUUAUACAUGUAAUGUGUCUCUUACGGUCAUACCAAUUUUGAUAGCUUUGUUUGGGAAUGAUGGUCGUGAAUGUACUAAAAUCUACUUUACAUUAGCAACAAUAUUAAGAUUGUUAAAGGUAACAAAUAUUUGCAAAUAAUAAAUCUGAAUGAAAGUGCUUUUUGGGAAAUGUUGAACAAUCCUUCUUGGUCCUUUUUAAUGCUUUUGUUCAUUGUGAUGUGUUUCAAUCUAGCAUCCAUGAUCUGUCUGACUAUCAUCUUAACAUGUGCAAGUGAACAGCAACCUUUAAGGUUAAGUUUUGCUGAGAUUCAUGAAGUCAUAGCUGAAGUUUGCAGAGAGUCCAGUGCCCCAAACCCAAAUACAAAUAAUGCAACAUCACAAUCUAACCAUGCUGGACAACCUGCUACUGAUGUUGCAAUCAGUGUUCUCAUCAAGCUUGUUAUUGACAUGUUCAUGAUGGAUGCUGGAACAGCUACUCCUCUCACUCUUUAUAUGCUGGAGAGUAUGCUCAGCUCUCCAAAAGUGGGAUCCAGGGUUCGUGCAUUUGAUUUCUUUUUAAACCUUGGAGUUCAUGCACAAUUGCUGGAGCCUAUUCUUCUUGAAGAUCCUACCUCAUCUGAGGCAGUUAAGCCUUUGCAAGAACCUUGUUCAAAUGAUGAAGAACAACCUAGAACUCCAGGAAAGAUGAAUAAUGAGUCUGACAUGCAGAUGAGAAUUUUUACAGCUAUUGAUAACUUUGAGUCCUGGCUUUUGGUCAUACUAUUUGAAGUUCUCCGUCUUCUUGUACAGAUGGAAGAAAGAGAAGAAAUUGUAUGGGCAUCCGCACUUAGUUGUUUAUUAUAUUUUGUUUGUGAUAAAGGAAAAAUAUUAAGGAGCAGACUUGCUGGUCUUGACAUAAGGGUUAUUAAGACCUUUGUGGAGAUCAGUAAUGAAUAUUCAUGGGCAGAGGUAGUUCAUUGCAAACUUAUCUGCAUGUUGAGUAACAUGUUAUAUCAAACUUCAAAUGAUCCUCCAAAGGAUGCUCCACACAUUCCCUUAGUUUUUGUUGAACAAGAGGAUCUUCUUGGAGGGAUUGACUUUAUUUAUUUGGAGUAUUCACAGGCAAGCUCGAAGGAAGAAAAGGAUAAUCUAUUUCUCGUUCUAUUUGAUUAUGUUGUACAUCAGAUAAAUGAAGUUUGCUUGGCUAAUGGAGCAUCAGUAUAUGUGUAUGAUGACAUUCAACCUCUUGUGUCCAUGCUCAUGCUCGCUAAUGCUCCUGAAGCUUUUCAUAUCGCAGUUAAGCAUGGUGUAGAUGGUAUUGGGGAGAUCUUGAAAAGAUCCAUCUCUGCAGCUUUGUUAAGAUCGUCAAACUAUGAGCGACAGAAUAUGCUUUUGGACAAGAUAAUAAGAAAACUUGAUACAACCUUGAGUACCUUCACAAGGUUGGAUAGUGAGUUUUCAUACAUGAUCCGUCUUACAAAGACAUGCAAGUCUUUUAUAAGCAUAAAAGAUGUCCUUUCCAAAACUGAUAUUGGUGAGAAAGCUAAAGUUUCAUGGGCUACGUUGCAUUCUCUUCUUCACUCAGACAGGUCUGCUUACCGACACCAUGGGUACAUCUGGCUUGUUGAAUUGCUGCUUAUAGAAAUCAGUGAGAGUAGAAGCGGAAAUAUCUUUUCAAAUGUAAAGAACCUUCAACAGCAAAUUGCUGUUGCUUUUUGUCAAGAUUCAGCUUAUUCAGAAGUUCCGUUAGCAAUUAGUAUCUUCUGUGGGCUUUUGAAAUCAAAGCACAAUUUUGUCAGAUGGGGCUUUCUUUUUGUUCUGGAAAAACUUCUCACACGUUGCAAAUUAUUACUUGGUGAAACUGAGCUGCAAGAUUCUAGUGCUGAAAGUAGUGCUUCCAAUCAUACUGAAACUUGUCUAAACAAAGCAAAUGCAGUCAUAGAUAUAAUGAGUAGUGCCUUAUCACUGGUGGUUCAGAUAAACGAGACUGAUCACAUCAGCAUUUUAAAGAUGUGUGAUAUGUUAUUUGCUCAAUUAUGCCUUAGGCUUCACUCUGCCACACGUGCUCCUUUUGUUGAUUUCAAUGGUCUUAAUCAUCUGUUUGGUUGCACAACUCAUACUCGUAAAAGUGGCUCAGAAACUCAUGUUUCUUUUGAAGGACCAAGGCCUAAGCAAUCACAAGAUAAGCUUCCACAGACAGCUGUCUCUCUUAAUGAUCUUGAUCAAGAUAGCUUAAUUUGUGAGACAACUUCUAUGGCAGCAUUGCUUUUUCGAGGGCAUGCAAUUGCUCCUAUGCAGCUAGUAGCCCGUGUUCCUGCUUCCUUGUUCUAUUGGCCGCUGAUACAGCUUGCUGGGGCAGCAGCUGAUGAUGUUGCAUUAGGUGUCGCCGUGGGCAGUAAUGGAGGAGGGAACAUACCAGGUGCUACGUCAGACAUAAGAGCUACCCUCCUCUUACUUUUAAUUGGUAAAUGUACUGCUGAUCAGGGAGCACUUUUGGAGAUAGAAGGAAAAGAAUUUUUCAGAGGCCUGUUAGAUGACAUGGAUUCACGAGUAGCAUAUUAUUCUGCUGCUUUUCUCUUGAAGAGAAUGAUGACAGAAGAACCAGAAACCUAUCAGCGCAUGCUUCACAGUCUUAUUUUCAAAGCACAACAGAGUAACAAUGAAAAACUUCUAGAGAACCCUUACCUGCAAAUACGUGGUAUCCAGCUGCUGUCAAAUGACCUUGGCACCCUCUUGUGACAUCUAACGGUUUGUUCCACUGUCAAGUGGAAUCCAUACCAAGUUCAUUUUUCAUGUUGCUAGAAGAUGCAACUGACAGACAAUCUGAAUCAAAGUUUCUUCUGUCUAGUAAAGGUCUUUCGUGACAAUGUAUAGUAGCACUUCAAGAUAAAUGAUGUGUACAGAAAUUUAGCUCAUCCUCCAAUUGAUCUUCGAUUAUUUAUGCCAUCAAGCCAGAUAAAAGACAACCUUUUCAAAGUUUAGGUGUUCAACUCCGUGUGAAUCACUCUCGAAGCACAUUCUAUGCUGAUUCUCGCAGAAGCAUUGCUGUUGAUAUACUUAGAAGCGUAAUUGUUUCGAUUGCAGACAAUCUCUUUGAAAUUUCAAGUACCGAGGUUUAUGCAGUUUUUUAGAGGCAUCCUCGGUUAGUAAUUAUUGCUCUGAAGCUGUCUAAUAACCAGGUGUUUCUUUUUUGUUUCAUAUCGGAACUUCGAACUUAAGGUCAUCAGUAUCCAAACUCCAUCAGUCAACUUCCAUUCUUGAGCCCAAUUUGUAUAUAUCACCCAUGUAAUGCAAUUUUGUUUAUAGUCUUGUUAUCGUCAGAUGAUUUUGUUGUGAAAUACAAUUAUUUUUGUUUUCAC